UCCGAUAUAGUAUAACGGUUAGUAUAACCGCCUCUCAAGUUUAUUGGCAGGCAUCGCGGUAGAUCGGGGUUCGAUUCCCCGUGUCGGAA
rfam:Kwoniella mangroviensis CBS 10435 unplaced genomic scaffold supercont2.1, whole genome shotgun sequence.